UACGUAGGGACCAAGCGUUGUUCGGAAUUACUGGGCGUAAAGCGCGCGCAGGCGGCUCUUCAAGUCAGGGGUGAAAGCCCAGAGCUCAACUCUGGAAUUGCCUUUGAGACUGUAGAGCUUGAGUACGGGAGAGGUGAGUGGAAUUCCCAGUGUAGAGGUGAAAUUCGUAGAUAUUGGGAAGAACACCGGUGGCGAAGGCGGCUCACUGGCCCGUUUCUGACGCUCAGGCGCGACAGCGUGGGGAUCAAACAGG
rnacentral:rRNA from 1 species